rnacentral:rRNA from 1 species
GAUGAACGCUGGCGGCGUGCUUAACACAUGCAAGUCGAACGGGAAUUAUUUUAUUGAAACUUCGGUCGAUUUAAUUUAAUUCUAGUGGCGGACGGGUGAGUAACGCGUGGGUAACCUGCCUUAUACAGGGGGAUAACAGUCAGAAAUGGCUGCUAAUACCGCAUAAGCGCACAGAGCUGCAUGGCUCAGUGUGAAAAACUCCGGUGGUAUAAGAUGGACCCGCGUUGGAUUAGCUGGUUGGUGGGGUAACGGCCCACCAAGGCGACGACCCAUAGCCGGCCUGAGAGGGUGAACGGCCACAUUGGGACUGAGACACGGCCCAGACUCCUACGGGAGGCAGCAGUGGGGAAUAUUGCACAAUGGGGGAAACCCUGAUGCAGCGACGCCGCGUGAAGGAAGAAGUAUCUCGGUAUGUAAACUUCUAUCAGCAGGGAAGAUAGUGACGGUACCUGACUAAGAAGCCCCGGCUAACUACGUG